rnacentral:rRNA from 1 species
CCUACGGGGUGCAGCAGUGAGGAAUAUUGGUCAAUGGCCGGAAGGCUGAACCAGCCAAGCCGCGUGAGGGAGGAAGGCGCAGAGCGUCGCAGACCUCUUUUGCCGGGGGACAAAAGGCCGGACUCGUCCGGUCCUGAGGGUACCCGGAGAAAAAGCAUCGGCGAACUCCGUGCCAGCAGCCGCGGUAAUAAGGAGGAUGCGAGCGUUAUCCGGAUUCAUGGGGUUUAAAGGGUGCGCAGGCGGCAGCGCAAGUCAGGAGUGAAAGCCCGGGGCCCAACCCCGGGACUGCUCUGGGAACUGCGCGGCUGGAGUGCAGGAGGGGCAGGCGGAAUUCCUGGUGUAGCGGUGAAAGGCGUAGAUAUCAGGAGGAACACCGGUGGCGAAGGCGGCCUGCUGGACUGCGACUGACGUUGAGGCCCGAAAGCGUGGGGAGCAAACAGGAUUAGAUACCCGUGUAGUC